rnacentral:misc_RNA from 1 species
GAUGAAGAACGUAGCGAAAUGCGAUACUUGGUGUGAAUUGCAGAAUCCCGUGAACCAUCGAGUCUUUGAACGCAAGUUGCGCCCGAAGCCAUUAGGCCGAGGGCACGCCUGCCUGGGCGUCACACGUCGUUGCCCCCCCAUCUACUCCUUCGGGAUUGCGGGGGGCGGAUGAUGGCCUCCCGUGCUCCUCGUCGCGCGGUUGGCAUAAAUGCCAAGUCCUCGGCGACGCACGCCACGACAAUCGGUGGUUGCGAAACCUCGGUUGCCCGUCGUGUGCGGUCGUCGCGCAUCGAGGGCUAGAAAAAAUUGCCGGGCUCCGGCUCGGCUUUCAACGCGACCCCAGGUCAGGCGGGGUUACCCGCUGAAUUUAAGCAUAUCAAUAAGCGGAGGA